GGGGGUUUAGCUCAGCUGGCUAGAGCGCUACACUGGCAGUGUAGAGGUCACCGGUUCGAAUCCGGUAUCCUCCA
rnacentral:tRNA from 3 species